ensembl:lncRNA
AUCACCUGUCCUUAUCUUUGGUUUAGACACAAUAAUUUUGACCGGUUGUCAGCUCUUCCAGGAUAUGAGUUCUUUUGCAAAUUUGGCGCAGGGCUACAUCGACUUCACAGAUUCAGAAGCAACAGGAACAGGCACAUCGGGUCAUGAAAUAAGGGUGAGCAGAAGCAGGAGCAGGAGGCUGCCUUUGCAAAUGCAGACAACAGUAUUUCCUUCACAUGUCAUCUAUAGAGGUGCUCCAAUUGUAAAUGCAUCAACGUCUACUCCCAGGGCCUCCGACGAAAGCUUUGAAGGAAACAGAAGCCAGCUAAUCACGCCGACACAGAAGAUGUUUCAUUUCUACUGAGAAAAUAGACUAAGGGAGACAAAGUGGAGCACUGAAGCAAUCGAAGUGAGUGCUGAUAAGACAGAAGCCAGAACGCCCAGAGCAUUUUAGACACAUGACCCUGUGGGUGGAGCUAAGUGAUGAAGCCUCCCUAAUGAACGGGGCAGGUCUCUGCCAACGGCCCUGUUUCAACAACAAUUACAACUCAUUUUUGGAUUUGCAAGCACCGCUAUCCACCAAACCAAGCUAAUGACAAUUUUUUUUUUAUAUUUUCCAAUAAUAAAGAUGGCUAUAUCUGUGAUUGCAUUCCACGGGUCAUGACAUUUGAAUGUCUGCAGUUGAAAGCUAAUGCUAACGCUAACUCUUACACUCUCCUUGACAUGUCUCACAUGGCCUUUCCUCAAAACGUGGAUGAAAAUCUGUUUUAUUUCCUGAAGAGUAAUAAGACCAGCACGUGUGGAUCUAGAUGCCUUUCAGA